rnacentral:rRNA from 1 species
UGGGCAACCUGCCCUCAGCUCUGGGAUAACUCCAAGAAAUUGGGGCUAAUACCGGAUGUGACCGCUGACCGCAUGGUCUGGUGGUGGAAAGAUUUAUCGGCUGGGGAUGGGCCCGCGGCCUAUCAGCUUGUUGGUGGGGUAGUGGCCUACCAAGGCGACGACGGGUAGCCGGCCUGAGAGGGUGACCGGCCACACUGGGACUGAGACACGGUCCAGACUCCUACGGGA